GAAGGGCAAAAGUCAGAUGGAAUAAAAAUUCCACGCAGCAGGAGCACAUUGCAGAAAUAAAAAGAGCAGAUUCUGAAGCAUCAAGCUAUUAGACUCCUCAGACUCCAAAAGAGUAUAUAGAUUUCUCCAACUCCGUAUAUACAAUUGAAAAUAAAAGAAAGAAGGGGGGUUCUGGUGAGCAAAACAAUGCGUACAUCCCACUAUUAGGUUUUCA
rnacentral:misc_RNA from 1 species